rnacentral:antisense_RNA from 1 species
CAGUAAGGGCUCUUCUGGGUCCCUCGUUUCCAAAGGCAUGAAAGUUAUGACCUGAAAAUGGGGGCCGGGGGGGGGGGGCGGUGGUGUCACAACCAUAUAACGCAGCUCCUUCAGCCGACUCCCACCCGCAAGACCUGAGACCUGACGGAUAAAAGCAGAGAGGAGUCAGAGUGAGCGCCGCGUUUGGGAAACUGCAUUCCAGGGCAGCAAGACCGGUGCCAAGACGGAGUCGUGGCAAAAGCAUCCGGAGGUCUUCCUUAAUAUAUGUCAGCAGUGGAGUGGUGUGCUUAAGGAGAGAGAGACUUGGAAAAAUACAGACCGAGAACAAGGCCAUGUGGAGAUAGAGGCAGAGACUGAAGUUGUGCCACCAAAGGCAAAGAAUAUCAAGUAUUGUCAGUAACCACAGGAAGCUGGAAGAGGCCAAGAAAGAUUUUUCUUAGAGACCUUGGAAGGAGCCUGACCCUGGAACACCUUGAUUUUAGACUUCUGGCCCCAAAAACUGUGAAAGAAUAAAUUUCUGUUGUUUUAAGCAA